rnacentral:rRNA from 1 species
UGGGGAAUAUUGCGCAAUGGGCGAAAGCCUGACGCAGCAACGCCGCGUGCGGGAUGAAGGCCUUCGGGUUGUAAACCGCUUUCAGUGGGGACGAAAUUGACGGUACCCACAGAAGAAGCCCCGGCCAACUACGUGCCAGCAGCAGCGGUAACACGUAGGGGGCGAGCGUUGUCCGGAUUUAUUGGGCGUAAAGAGCUCGUAGUCGGCUCAGUAAGUCAGGUGUGAAAACUCCAGGCUCAACCUGGAGACGCCACUUGAUACUGCUGUGGCUAGAGUCCGGUAGGGGAGCAUGGAAUUCCUGGUGUAGCGGUGAAAUGCGCAGCUAUCAGGAGGAACACCAGUGGCGAAGUCGGUGCUCUGGGCCGGAACUGACGCUGAGGAGCGAAAGCGUGGGGAGCAAACAGG